UACGGAGGAUGCAAGCGUUAUCCGGAUUUAUUGGGUUUAAAGGGUGCGCAGGUUGUUUGAUAAGUCAGUGGUGAAAGUCUGUCGCUUAACGGUAGGAUUGCCAUUGAUACUGUUAGACUUGAAUAUGGAUGAGGUAGGCGGUAUGUGUAGUGUAGCGGUGAAAUGCAUAGAUAUUACACAGAACACCGAUUGCGAAGGCAGCUUACUAAUCCAUCAUUGACGCUGAGGCACGAAAGCGUGGGGAUCAAACA
rnacentral:rRNA from 1 species